UACGAGGGGAGCAAGCGUUAUCCACAUUAACUGGGCGUAAAGGGCACGUAGGUCGUUUAUGAUAUGUGUGCUGUUAAAUCUUGUGAUGAAAUCAUAAACCGCAGCAUAGACGAGUAAGCUAGAGUGACGCUUAGGUCGUGGGACUGUUAGCUGAAGGGGUAAAAUCCAGAUAUAGCUAAAAAUACAUCAUAUGGGGCGAAAGCACAUUUCUGAAGUUCACUGACACUGAGGUGCGAGAGCGUGGGGAGCAAACGGG
rnacentral:rRNA from 1 species